GGGAGUAUGGCUCAAGUGGUAGAGUGCCUGCCUAGCAAGCUUGAAGCCUCGAGUUCAAACCUCAGUACUGCUA
rnacentral:tRNA from 1 species